GAUUUUAAGUUAAAUUAGACUUAAGAAUAUGUGUAAGAAUUGAGAAUAAAUAUUUACUUUUUAUUUUAGAAAUGAACACACAAGAAAAUUUAAACGACGAUGAUGGUGACUUUUUUAGAAAUGCGCAGGAGAUAGUGGCAGAAGAG
rnacentral:lncRNA from 1 species